rnacentral:rRNA from 1 species
ACUCCUACGGGAGGCAGCAGUAGGGAAUAUUGGGCAAUGGGUGAGAGCCUGACCCAGCCAUGCCGCGUGCAGGAAGACGGCCCUCUGGGUGUUAAACUGCUUUUGAAUGGGAAGAAACGGUAAGCCUGCGGGCUUAAUGACGGUACCAUAGGAAUAGCCACCGGCUAACUACGUGCCAGCAGCCGCGGUAAU